GACCGAGCCAAUCAUAACAUGGCAGACCACGCCAAUCACAGGAUGGCAGACACGCGCAUUGCCAUUGGCAGCUAAUGUGACUUUACUCAGUGAUAGCGCUAACGGGGCGGCUGCUGUAAAUGUGAUAUUGUGCCGAGUCAGGCUCCGGCUGUUGUCACACAAGCAGCAGCAGUACACAGGCAUCGUCUGUACUUUACGUCCCAGGAGACAGGACAGGCCGCCCACAUAUUGCGUCAUCUAGAUGAGACACGGAGUGAAUGGAGAGCGGCCGGGACUCAGGGCCAUGGCGGUUACACAGCUGUGCUGCCUGUGGUAGGAGCCUGGACUGAGAGACAGCUGGAGGCCGAGGCUGCACCGGAAACGUUGGGUAAUGUGACUCAUCACUGGCAGACCUGACGGGACCAUGUGAGGCUGGAGCCAGGAAGAAGACCCUCCAUCAUGGCAACGAGCUGUAGGACUGGAGGAUUUCCUAGCUGGAAACUCCACAUCUCCAGAGAGCUGAGGAGAAGAGACCGAGAGCAGAGCCAGGCUUUCGAGGACCUUAUCCUACAAUAUAACCGGUUACUUGAGAAGUCUGACUUUCAGUCCGUUUUGGCUGAUAAAUUGCAAGUGGAUAAGUAUGAUCAGCAGAGCCGCCAUGACCUCAGCCCAGGACCAGAUGGAGUGCGAAAUGAGGCGAUUCUACAGGACAUGGCUCAGAUGAGGAUAAAGCACCAGGAGGAGUUAACGGAGCUCCAUAAAAAACGUGGAGAGCUGGCUCAGACAGUGAUAGAACUGAACAACCAGAUGCAGCAAAAGGACAAAGAAAUCCAGACCAACAAGGCAACGAUAGAGGAAUACCAGCGCACCAUCAGUGAGCUUGAGACUGAAUGCCAAGACCUGCGGAAUAAACUGCAGGAGCUUGAGCGCACGAACCAGACACUGAAGGACGAGUACGACGCCCUUCAGAUUACUUUUAACGCCCUAGAAGGGAAGCUGCGGAAAACCACGGAGGAUAACCAGGAGCUGGUGACUCGUUGGAUGGCAGAGAAAGCUCAGGAAGCCAAUCGUCUCAACGCUGAAAAUGAGAAGGACUCCAAGAGAAGACAGGCGCGCCUGCAGAAAGAGUUAGCUGAAGCCGCUAAGGAACCCCUGUCGGUGGAACAGGAUGAUGAUAUAGAGGUGUUAAAUGAUAAUGCUGAUCCUCCAGGGGACGCUGCAGUACCUACAGUUAUUGGCCGACUUUCAAGUAAGAGACUCUCUCAGCCCGCCGUAGGAGGCCUCCUGGAUUCUAUCACUAAUAUUUUCGGCUUGUCUGAGUCUCCCCUCUUGGGUCAUCAUUCUGACACUGCCAGGAGAAGGUCUAUAUCCUCUCUCCCAGCCUCGCAUGAUUGUCCAGAUGCCCAGACUGGAGGUAACAGGGAAGUCCGUGUUCCAGUUGCAGCCCUUCACUCCUUUGAUGCCCACGAUGGUGAGGUCAAUGCUGUGCGUUUUAGCCCAGGCUCCCGGUUAUUGGCUACUGGGGGAAUGGAUCGGCGGGUUAAACUGUGGGAGGUCAUAGGAGAUAAAUGUGAGGCAAAGGGCUCCCUCACAGGGAGCAAUGCUGGGAUCACAAGCAUAGAGUUUGAUAGUGCUGGCUCUUACAUUUUGGCUGCAUCAAAUGAUUUUGCCAGCAGAAUCUGGACAGUAGAGGAUUACCGCCUUCGGCAUACGUUAACUGGGCACAGUGGAAAGGUUUUGUCUGCUAAGUUCUUAUUGGACAAUGCUCGAAUUGUGUCAGGAAGUCAUGACCGGACAUUGAAACUUUGGGAUCUGCGCAACAAAGUCUGUAUAAAGACCGUAUUUGCUGGGUCCAGCUGUAAUGACAUUGUCUGUACAGAACAGUGUGUGAUGAGUGGGCACUUUGACAAAAAGAUCCGCUUCUGGGACAUAAGAACAGAAUGUAUAGUACGUGAGCUGGAACUGCAGGGUAGGAUCACUGCCUUAGACCUGAACCCUGAGAGGACAGAGCUGCUAUGCUGCUCUCGAGAUGACUUAAUUAAGAUCAUCGACUUGCGUGCCAAUGCUGUGCGACAGAGUUUUAGCGCUCAGGGAUUCAAGUGUGGCUCAGAUUGGACUAGAGUAAUAUUUAGCCCUGAUGGUAGUUAUGUGGCAGCUGGCUCAGUGGAGGGGACUCUCUAUUUCUGGAACGUGUUGACUGGGAAAGUGGAGAAAAUACUUGGCAAACAGCACAGUUCCUCUAUUAAUGCUGUUGCUUGGUCUCCUUCUGGUGCCUAUGUGGUCAGCGUGGACAAAGGAAGCAAAGGAGUAUUGUGGUCUGACUUUUGAUUACUAGACAAAGCCUACACUGGUGAAAAAUUGUACCCCAGUUAUUGAAAAUGUCUAAUAGGCCACAGUCCAGCUUACAACAGCUCUCGAUUCUCUACACAAUGGCCAAGUUCAAAUGCUCUGAUGUGCAAGGAAUGGGAAUGUGCAGUAAGCCUGCAGGGGGCGCUGAUCAUUCCCAAAUGGAAUGGAAUGAAGGAACUGUUAAGUGCUUUACUAUUAUAGGACUGAAUAGAUCUUCACUGUUAAGAGUCUACAAUAUAAAGAUGGUUUAAUGAAGACUUUUACAAUUAUUUUUUUUUAAAUCUGUUUGAAUGCCUCCGCUUGGGAUAUCUCUCUUCAGGUUCUAAGAUACGCACAAAAGUUUUAUGUUCCGGUGUAGAGGGGCUUGGAAGUAGUGCAAGCAGCCCUGUACAUACUGAACAGAUGGUUGUGAUGUGUCACUCAGUGAAUUAAACUAUUUUAGUUGUACCCCUUUCCCAUUUAAAAAGCACUUUAAGUUUGCAUUUUUUCUAAAUGCUCUUUGGCUUUCCCAUGUAGGAACAUUGUUCUAUUCUUUUGGUGCCGGAUAGGCCCCCACAUGUGCACAUCAGUAAGUGAUGCAAUUACCAAAAAUGAAUGAAACAGUCUCCGGUCUUACUCCUGCUUGGGAUGGAAAUUUGGGUAUGGCAUAUUGCUGCUAAAUACUUUAAUCCUCUGCAAAUGAAGUGUUUACAGUGUUCUGUAGCUAUUACAUAAAUACACAGGACUUUUCUCAUUAUAUAACAUCAGUCUAGGUAAGUAGACCUCAGUCCAGAGCACCCUGAUUUCUUUACCUCCCCUGGUUUUUUAGUAACCCUGCACACGUAUCCCUCUCACCUGUCCUCCAUCCUGCAUUAUGGUAAUGCUAGCAGUGUUAGUGAUCAGCAUUUGCUGUAGGACUGAUGCUGCCUAGGGAGUAAUAGUUUUUUGUGGUCAAUUUAUUCAGCGAAACACCCCACAAUAGACACCCUAAAUAAAUGGUAACGUGUAGUCACCAAUUUGUGUUUGUUUAACCCCAAUCCUUUUAGUUUACAAUCCAUUAAAAAGUUUUGCAGCCUAAUAAUCUUUUUCUAUUUAAUUUAAAUACAUUUGACUUAUUAUCACUGUCAGGUCAUUACUUUACUUUACAAAGGGUUUAAAUCGGACAAACUUUACAAAGUUUAUUCUUGACUGAAUGUAGUUUUGGUUGUGUAUAAAGCAUUUGGCAGUCCUGAGGUUUUAAACGUCUUAUUUAGAAGAUAUUUUAAAAUGUACAGUGGAGUAUAUAAAAAUAUGUAUGGUAAUGAGAUAGUCAUGUAAAAUGGUUACAGCAAGUCAAACCAAAGUUAUUUUUGUUGGUCUAUUUAUGACUUGUGUUAAUUCUAUUAGUUGUCGGUCUCUUUUGUUUUAAUUUUCUGGGUGUUUUAAAAAAUACAUUGGACUACAUCUAAAAACGUCUCCGUUAAUAAGUAAAUGAAUAUUCUUCCUUUCUCAAGUAGAGAAGCACUUACCUUGCUCACGUACCUUGUCAUCAAACUGCGGGGAACUGCAUAUGUAGUACUAUUUGGAAGAGACACAGAUUAGAUGACAUAAGCACAAUUCAGAUACUUCUAAAAUCACACAGCUGAAAGUACGCCAUCACUUCGUAGCUUUACUUUUUGUGUACAAGGGAAUUUGGCCACUCAAUGGAAGCACCUUUACAGCGUAAGAAGAGUUAGGUUUACAAGAAAUAAUUCUAUUUACCAGAGUUUCACACUGCUUUAGGAUAUUUGCAGACUACAGUAACUGCAAGCUACAAUUUCACUUGAUUGCUUCUUGCCAGUAUAUUUGUUAGGACAAUAGAAAGUAUGUAUUAUAAUGAUCACAGCAAGAAUACCAAUGUUCCAUUUGAGCAGUCUGCAAGCAGAACAGGCAUGUAAAAACACCUUCAAAGUAAAUCAUACGGGGUAAAAAUAACAAAUUGGUAUUGCUUGUGUAUAUAUGUAUGUACGUAUGUGUGUGUAUAUAUGUAUGUAUAUAACAAAGCUGGACUACUUUCCAGCAGAUCAAGCUGUUCAUAAUAUAAGAUAUUGCAUAGGAAUGCCGAGUCAACAAAUUAGAACUGGUCCAUACAAGAUUUGGCUAGUUACAGAAGAGAUAUUUCUAUUCGGACACUUUAAUCUGUGAAGAUGAUUAUAUGCUGAUAGAGAGUUAAGGUAUUUAUAGUAGUCUAUUAAACAAAAUGUAUGACCUCCCACCCCAUCUUUGCAUUUAACUGUAUUUACAUGGUGCCACAAUAAUAAUUUGGUUUUGUAAAUACAGCUGCAAUGAAGCAGCGUGAAUCUUUAAAACAAAAACAAACAAAAAAAGGCUUAGGCUAAGGCCACACAUAGCGGCCAAGCGGGUCCUGCUGAACAGGACCCGCUUGGCCGGGAGUGGGGUUCUGUGUUCACACGGAUCCUGUUCUGCGGGAUGCCGCAGAACAGGAUCCUGCCAGUGACACACAGUAUUUCAAUGUAACACGGUGCAGUACAGCCGCACUGUGUGAACACAUACAUUGAAAUGUAUGUGUUCACAUUGAAAUCCUAUUGUCCUGCCGUCCGGCCCAACCGCAGCAUGCUGCGGUCGGACCUGGCGGCGGCGAGACUGCCGCACAUGUGUGGGCUCUUGCAUGUGCACUCUCUUUCCAGCCAAGUGGGUCAGGCUAAAUAGGACCCGCUUGGCCGCUAUGUGUGGCCGUAGCCUUAAUGGUUUUUAUUGAAAUGAUUGUAAACUUUUAAGAUGACCAUGUUGUACAUUCCUUCACCAGUAAAAGGCAGUUUGGACUAUUCACUAUGUCCCAUGUGUUUGCAGAUCGGUAGACUAAUUCUCCACCAUUUGAUACAUAUGUAGCAAUUUCUAUUUUUCAUAAUAAGGUAUAACCCAUUGUUAUGGGGCCUUCUGUGCCAUACCUGUUGUGUUUUUAUUUAUUCUGUUCUGCUGGUUUGCACAAGCAACCUUGUAAAUAAACUUGAUAUGUCUCA